rnacentral:rRNA from 1 species
GAUGAACGCUAGCUACAGGCUUAACACAUGCAAGUCGAGGGGUAACAAGAGAAAAGCUUGCUUUUCUUGUUGACGACCGGCGCACGGGUGAGUAACGCGUAUCCAACCUGCCUAUAACUAGGGAAUAACCUUGCGAAAGUAAGACUAAUACCCUAUGAUUUCCUUUGAUGACAUCAGAUGAGGAAUAAAGAUUUAUCGGUUAUAGAUGGGGAUGCGUCUGAUUAGCUUGUUGGCGGGGUAACGGCCCACCAAGGCAACGAGCAGUAGGGGUUCUGAGGGGAAGGGCCCCCACAUUGGAAAUGGGACACGGUCCAAACUCAUACGGGAGGCAGCAGUGAGGAAUAUUGGUCAAUGGGCGGAAGCCUGAACCAGCCAAGUAGCGUGCAGGAUGACGGCCCUAUGGGUUGUAAACUGCUUUUAUACAGGAAUAAAGUUAGCCACGUGUGGUUAUUUGUAGGUACUGUAUGAAUAAGGACCGGCUAAUUCCGUGCCAGCCGCCGCGGUAA